rnacentral:rRNA from 1 species
UGCCAGGUGUCAAUAAUAUUUGGUUAGCUCUGCCCAGUGAUACUAAUUUUAACGGCCGCAGUACACUGACUGUGCAAAGGUAGCAUAAUCAUUUGGCUUUUAAAUGAAGUCGGGUAUGAACGAGUUAAUGGAAAUAAGCUGUCUCAAUAAGGGGUUGUAUAGAACUUACUUAGAAAGUGAAAAUGCUUUCAAUUUAUCUUUAAAAGACGAGAAGACCCUAUAAAAUUUCCAUUAAAAUAAUAUACAUAUUAUUAUUUCAUUUUUGUUGGGGCAACAGGUUAACAAAAGAAAUUACAAAUUUAACUUAAGAAUUUACCAAUUUAUCAGGUUUUACAAGAGAAAAGAAAAUUACUUUAGGGAUAACAGCAUAAUUUUUCAUAAAGAUUGUGACCUCGAUGUUGGACUAGGGACUAAUUAAGUCAAACACAUAAUUAGAAGGUUCUGUUCGAACUUCUUUUACCU